rnacentral:rRNA from 1 species
UACGAAGGGGGCUAGCGUUGCUCGGAAUUACUGGGCGUAAAGCGCACGUAGGCGGCUUUCUAAGUCGGGGGUGAAAUCCUGGAGCUCAACUCCAGAACUGCCUUCGAUACUGGAGAGCUUGAGUCCGGGAGAGGUGAGUGGAACUGCGAGUGUAGAGGUGAAAUUCGUAGAUAUUCGCAAGAACACCAGUGGCGAAGGCGGCGCACUGGCCCGAUACUGACGCUGAGGCACGAAAGCGUGGGGAGCAAACAGG